rnacentral:rRNA from 1 species
GGGCGAAAGCCUGAUGGAGCAACGCCGCGUGAGUGAAGAAGGUUUUCGGAUCGUAAAACUCUGUUGUAAGGGAAGAACAAGUACAGUAGUAACUGGCUGUACCUUGACGGUACCUUAUUAGAAAGCCACGGCUAACUACGUGCCAGCAGCCGCGGUAAUACGUAGGUGGCAAGCGUUGUCCGGAAUUAUUGGGCGUAAAGCGCGCGCAGGUGGUUUCUUAAGUCUGAUGUGAAAGCCCACGGCUCAACCGUGGAGGGUCAUUGGAAACUGGGAGACUUGAGUGCAGAAGAGGAUAGUGGAAUUCCAAGUGUAGCGGUGAAAUGCGUAGAGAUUUGGAGGAACACCAGUGGCGAAGGCGACUAUCUGGUCUGUAACUGACACUGAGGCGCGAAAGCGUGGGGAGCAAACAGGAUUAGAUACCCUGGUAGUCCACGCCGUAAACGAUGAGUGCUAAGUGUUAGGGGGUUUCCGCCCCUUAGUGCUGCAGCUAACGCAUUAAGCACUCCGCCUGGG